rnacentral:lncRNA from 1 species
CACACACCACACCACACACACCACACACACCACCACACGCACACCACCACACACCACCACACACACACACCCCACACACACCACACACACCACACCACACACACCACACACACACACCACACACACCACACACACCACACACACCACGCACAUCACACACACCACACACACACACCACACACACAUGUAAUAGAGACACAGUAUAUAGACUACUAUAAUAGACUACUAUAAUAGACUACUAUAAUAGACUACUGUAAUAGACUACUAUAGUAGACACAGUAUAUAGACUACUAUAAUAGACUACUAUAAUAGACUACUGUAAUAGACUACUUAUAUAGACUACUGUAAUAGACUACUAUAAUAGACUACUAUAAUAGACUACUAUAAUAGACACAGUAUAUAGACUACUAUAAUAGACUACUAUAAUAGACUACUGUAGUAGACUACUGUAAUAGACUACUGUAAUAGACUACUGUAAUAGACUACCGUAAUAGACUACCGUAAUAGACUACCGUAAUAGACUACUGUAAUAGACUACUAUAAUAGACUACUGUAAUAGACUACUGUAGUAGACACAGUAUAUAGACUACUGUAAUAGACUACCGUAAUAGACUACUGUAAUAGACUACUAUAAUAGACUACUGUAAUAGACUACUGUAAUAGACUACUGUAAUAGACUACCGUAAUAGACUACUGUAAUAGACUACCAUAAUAGACUACUAUAAUAGACACAGUAUAUAGACUACUGUAAUAGACUACUGUAAUAGACUACUGUAAUAGACUACUAUAAUAGACUACUAUAAUAGACUACU